GAUGAAGAACGUAGCGAAAUGCGAUAAGUAAUGCGAAUUGCAGAAUUCCAGUGAGUCAUCGAAUCUUUGAACGCACAUUGCGCCCUUUGGUAUUCCGAAGGGCAUGCCUGUUCGAGCGUCAUUAUCACCCCUCAAGCCCUCGGCUUGGUGUUGGACGGUUUGGUGGAGGCCCCCACGGGGGCUCCUGCCCCUCCCAAAGACAAUGACGGCGGCCUCGUUGGACCCCCGGUACACUGAGUUCUUCACGGGACACGUAUCGGACACAUGGGUUUACGGGACACGGUCUGCCUCCCCUCAGGGAGAAUCUUUCUAAGGUUGACCUCGGAUCAGGUAGGGAUACCCGCUGAACUUAAGCAUAUCAAUAAGCGGAGGA
rnacentral:misc_RNA from 1 species